rnacentral:tRNA from 1 species
GCCGAUGUGGUGGAAUAGGCAGACGCAAGGGACUUAAAAUCCCUCGAACGAGAGUUCGUACCGGUUCAAGUCCGGUCAUCGGCACCA